rnacentral:misc_RNA from 1 species
CCUAAGAGAUACGUGUUAUGUGCAGUGCUCACACAGAUUGUCUGAUGAAGAACGAGCAAAAGCGCGUCUGCGAAGCUGACAAAGGUCCCCUUCGUCUAGAGGCCUAGGACACCGCCCUUUCACGGCGGUAACAGGGGUUCGAAUCCCCUAGGGGACGCCAAUGCGCGGUAUGAGUGAAAGGCGUACCACUUAUCUGACGAGAGUCAGAGAAUAACUAAGCUAAUUCAAAUGAGUUAUCUUACUUAUUAUGCUCUUUAACAAUCUGGAACAAGCUGAAAAAUUGAAAACAAAUCAAUAUAUCACCGAGGUAUAUUGGUGAGUCUCUCAAAAUCUCAAACCUUAAAGUUUGUCACGCAAAGUUUAUCUUUGAAAAAGACACUUUCGGGUUGUGA